ensembl:lncRNA
UACUGACUGACUGACUGUACCCACUGGAAGUAGGAUAUAGCACCUACUGACUGACUGACUGUACCAGCUGGAUGUGGGAUCUAGCACCUACUGACUGACUGACUGUACCAGCUGGACAUCGGAUCUAGCACCUACUGACUGACUGACUGUACCAGCUGAAUGUGGAAUCUAGCACCUACUGACUGACUGACUACUGGAUGUGGGAUCUAGCAGCUACUGACUGACUGUACCAGCUGGACUUGGGAUAUAACACCUACUGACUGACUGUACCGGCUGGAUGUGGGAUCUAGCACCUACUGACUGACUGACUGUACCAGCUAGACAUGGGAUAUAACAUCUACUGACUUACUGACUGUACCGGAUGGAUGUGGGAUCUAGCACCUACUGACUGACUGACUGUACCAGCUGAAUGUGGAAUCUAGCACCUACUGACUGACUGACUACUGGAUGUGGGAUCUAGCAGCUACUGACUGACUGUACCAGCUGGACUUGGGAUAUAACACCUACUGACUGACUGUACCAGCUGGACUUGGGAUAUAACACCUACUGACUGACUCUUCCAGCUGAGGAUGGGAUCUAUCACGUACUGACUGAGUGUACCAGCUGAGGAUGGGAUCUAGCCCUAACUCUGACUGACUGUACCAGAUGAGGACAGGAUCUAGCACGUACUGACUGACUGUGCCAGCUGAUUAAAUCACUUACUGACUGUACCAGCUGAUUACAUAACUGACUGACUCUACCAGCUGGCACGGCGAUGGGAUCUAACACCUACUAACUGUCUGACUGACGGACUUUCUGACCGACUGUCUGACUGAUUAGCUGGCUGACUGGCUAGGCUGACUGGCUAGGCUGACUGACUGACUGACUGACUGACUGGCUGGCUGGCUGGCUGGCUGGCUGGCUGGCUGACUUCCUGACUGAUUGGCUGGCUGGCUGACUGGCUGGCUGAUUGGCUGGCUGACUGAUUGGCUGAUUGGCUGGCUGGCUGACUGGCUGGCUGACUGGCUGGCUGGCUGACUGAUUGGCUGGCUGAUUGGCUGGCUGGCUGACUGGCUGGCUGACUUCCUGACUGAUUGGCUGGCUGGCUGACUGACUGGCUGACUGUCCUUCCAUUGCCUUCUCUCCCCGGGGAUUCAGACGGGAAAACAAAGCCAGAGAACUUGAACCAACUGUAAUGUAACUAGUUAAAGCAGGCGACACACUUGAGUCUGUCUGUCUGUCUGUCUGUUAAAGUCAUGAUUAUUCAAUACUACCAUAAUUAUAUUAUUCUAUUGAUCUGUUAUAGUCAUGAUUAUUCAAUACCACCAUAAUUAUAUUAUUCUGUUGAUAUUGUUGGGGUUGUGAACGUACAGUACAGUAAGAGACUAUUGUUUGUGGAUACUGUACUUUUUAAAGACGAAGCUGAGAACACUGCUGCUACCUGACGGUGACUGUAACAUUAGGUCUGUACGGUGCCCAUAUUAGGACAGCGUCAGUCUCAGCAGGCGUUAUUAGGUCCUGAUCAGACUGAGGAUGUCCUAAUACAGACACCAUAGGUGUGUUAUUUAAUGAUGGUCUGCAUUCCAAAUGGCACCUUGUUCCCUUUGUAGCUGAACUAUUGUUGACCAGAGCCUACGGUGUUGACCAGGUCCUACAGUGUUGACCAGGGCCUACAGUGUUGACCAGAGCCUACGGUGUUGACCAGGUCCUACGGUGUUGACCAGGGCCUACAGUGUUGACCAGGGCCUACAGUGUUGACCAGGGCCUACGGUGUUGACCAGGUCCUACGGUGUUGACCAGGACCCACAGUGUUGACCAGGUCCUACGGUGUUGACCAGGGCCUACAGUGUUGACCAGGGCCUACGGUGUUGACCAGGUCCUACAGUGUUGACCAGGGCCUACAGUGUUGACCAGAGCCUACGGUGUUGACCAGGUCCUACGGUGUUGACCAGGACCCACAGUGUUGACCAGGUCCUACGGUGUUGACCAGGGCCUACAGUGUUGACCAGGGCCUACGGUGUUGACCAGGUCCUACAGUGUUGACCAGGGUCUACAGUGUUGACCAGGGUCUACAGUGUUGACCAGGGCCUACAGUGUUGACCAGGGCCUACGGCUGCUGGUGUUGACCAGAUGCUACGGCUGCUGGUGUUGACCAGAUCCUACGGCUGCUGGUGUUGACCAGGUCCUACGGCUGCUGGUGUUGACCAGAUCCUACGGCUGCUGGUGUUGACCAGGUCCUACGGCUGCUGGUGUUGACCAGGUCCUACGGCUGCUGGUCAACAUAGUGUACUCUAUGGGGAACAGGAUGCCAUGUGGAACACAGCCCCUAUUGAAGACCUUUCUAGCUAUGUUGGUUCUGUUGUUUGUGCACGGAAAUGGAAUUAAAUACAACAAGGGCACGUUUUUGUUAUUUUUCAACAUAAUAUAUUUUGCACUGAGACACAAAAAUGUGUUAAUACUGUACAUUUUGUUUUUAGAUGCGUGUAUAAAGCCUCACCAGUGCCACAUAGUUCAAAUGUAUAAAAUAUUGUUGUACUGUGGAAUGUUAAUAGUCUUUUGGAUUGCAAUGUAUUGCCUUUACACACAGUCUGCUGGUUGUCAACACUAUAGGCCAUAAAGGAGGGGCAUCUGACUGCUAUAGAAUUACCGGCCAUAAAGGAGGGGCAUCUGACUGCUAUAGAAUUACCGGCCAUAAAGGAGGGGCAUCUGACUGCUAUAGAAUUACCGGCA